AGGACGAACGCUGGCGGCGUGCUUAACACAUGCAAGUCGAGCGGAAAGGCCUCUUCGGGGGUACUCGAGCGGCGAACGGGUGAGUAACACGUGAGUAACCUGCCCUGGACCUUGGGAUAACCCUCGGAAACGGGGGCUAAUACCGGAUACGACCUCCACGGGCAUCUGCGGAGGUGGAAAGGUUUUUCCGGCUGAGGAUGGGCCCGCGGCCUAUCAGCUAGUUGGUGGGGUGAUGGCCCACCAAGGCGACGAC
rnacentral:rRNA from 1 species